UACGUGGGGGGCUAGCGUUGUCCGGAUUUAUUGGGCGUAAAGAGCGUGUAGGCGGCCAGGUAGGUCUGGUGUGAAAACUCGAGGCUUAACCUCGAGAUGUCAUCGGAAACCAUUUGGCUAGAGUCCGGAAGAGGAGAGUGGAAUUCCUGGUGUAGCGGUGAAAUGCGCAGAUAUCAGGAAGAACACCAAUGGCGAAAGCAGCUCUCUGGGACGGUACUGACGCUGAGACGCGAAAGCGUGGGGAGCGAACAGG
rnacentral:rRNA from 1 species